UUAAAUCAGAAAUCUUAAGAAAGAAAAUAUUUCAUUAACAUGUAUUAGAGUUUACAAGAUCCCAAAGCUAAGAUAAAGUCCAACUACCAAAAGUUUGAGUACAAAUAACUGUAUUACAAAUAUCCCUCCUUUCGCCUCUCAAAUCUACAUGUUAUGUGACCAUAAUGGUAAACGGUUACUAACAAGAAAAUGUGACAUGACUAGGGCACUGCAAAUGAUCAAGAUAUGAUAAAUCAAACACUAGAUGUCUUUCGCUACCUGAGAGAAAAAACGAAAACAAAACAUUUGAAAGAUUAGACAAAAGGUCUAGUGAGUCGAGAUUUCUUCAAUACAUUUCACUUUUAUGAGACAAUUUUCAUAAACACAACAAACAAAUCGCAAACUUGAAAUUUAUUUCACAAGCACAACGCAAUUUGACAAGGACAUGUCUUUUAAAUCUAAAAACUAUUCAUUGCCUUAACCGAUUUCAAACAUCGAAAUACAUAUCGCUUAGUCCACAAAGACUUUGGAAAUUCAACUUUUCCUUGCAUAUAUCAUUUCAGCAUAAGUUGUAAAACAUAAUAUUACAACAUAUCACAAUUGUACACAUCACCUUGACUAAGAUGUCAUUCAUGCAUUCUCAUCGUCGAGUUAUGGUUUGUGCGAAAUAAUCUCAAUGCAUCAGCAUAAAUAUCCACUUAUCAUACAUGUAUAGAGUGUUUUCCUAUACCAAGUUAUAAAGCAAGUAUAUAUAGGAUAAUCUUACAUCAGAUCACAAAGUAAAUGUAAGGUUCCUCACACCACAUCACAAAGCAAGUAUGAGUUGUUCAUCACAGCAUACUAAAACAUUUCACAAGCAUAAUCCAUAAUCCAUAUUCGAAACAUUCAAGUUGGAAUAUUAAACCAAUAUCAAUAAAAAAAAAGUUCAAAUAUGAGUGGAAAAUCAUUUUGAUUUUCAAACAUUUUAAAACCACUCACAGUUGAGAUAAGAUUUCCUUAUGGGGAAAGCACUUGGUCAAACUCCUUGUCAACCUUAAAUGCAUAAUAACUCUGGAAAGGUCUUCUUAAUGCCUUGUUAUUCCUCUAGCUCUAACUUAG
rnacentral:lncRNA from 1 species